GUGGGGGAUAUUGCACAAUGGAGGAAACUCUGAUGCAGCGACGCCGCGUGAGUGAAGAAGUAUUUCGGUAUGUAAAGCUCUAUCAGCAGGGAAGAUAAUGACAGUACCUGACUAAGAAGCCCCGGCUAACUACGUGCCAGCAGCCGCGGUAAUACGUAGGUGGCAAGCGUUAUCCGGAUUUACUGGGUGUAAAGGGAGCGUAGACGGAAUGGCAAGUCUGAAGUGAAAUCCUGCGGCUUAACUGCAGAAUUGCUUUGGAAACUGUCAAUCUGGAGUGUUGGGAAGGUAGGCGGAAUUCCUGGUGUAGCGGUGAAAUGCGUAGAUAUCAGGAAGAACACCGGAGGCGAAGGCGGCUUACUGGACAAUAACUGACGUUGAGGCUCGAAAGCGUGGGAAGCAAACAGGAUUAGAAACCCGGGUAGUCC
rnacentral:rRNA from 1 species